AGAGUUUGAUCCUGGCUCAGGACGAACGCUGGCGGCGCGCCUAACACAUGCAAGUCGAACGAGCGAGAGAGAGCUUGCUUUCUCAAGCGAGUGGCGAACGGGUGAGUAACGCGUGAGGAACCUGCCUCAAAGAGGGGGACAACAGUUGGAAACGACUGCUAAUACCGCAUAAGCCCACAGCUCGGCAUCGAGCAGAGGGAAAAGGAGCAAUCCGCUUUGAGAUGGCCUCGCGUCCGAUUAGCUAGUUGGUGAGGUAACGGCCCACCAAGGCGACGAUCGGUAGCCGGACUGAGAGGUUGAACGGCCACAUUGGGACUGAGACACGGCCCAGACUCCUACGGGAGGCAGCAGUGGGGAAUAUUGCACAAUGGGGGAAACCCUGAUGCAGCGACGCCGCGUGGAGGAAGAAGGUCUUCGGAUUGUAAACUCCUGUUGUUGAGGAAGAUAAUGACGGUACUCAACAAGGAAGUGACGGCUAACUACGUGCCAGCAGCCGCGGU
rnacentral:rRNA from 1 species